AGCAGUAUUUGCAUUUGCUCUAGAAUUCUGUUUGUCCUACAACGGUUUGCUAUAAGAUUUCUUGGCCUUUGUUAACUAUUAAACUCGCUUUCACUAAGUUUUUUGGUUAUGGUAUGUUGUAUCUAUGCAAGUUGGUGUGUUUUUGAUAUGUUGGUUAUACUUGCUAGUCUAGAAGUGGUUGCAAGUGCAAUUCUGUUUAUUAAGAUUUGCAGAAACUUGUUGACGAAUAGAAAGAUGCAAGAAAUAAAAUUGAAGUCUUUACUGAGCAGGUGAUACUCCUCUG
rnacentral:lncRNA from 1 species